CCACGGCCAGGGUGGUUCCCAAUAGGGAUGUGCCUGGACGUCCCAGCUGGCGGUGGGCGUAUGCAAAACACCAGCAGCC
rnacentral:ncRNA from 1 species